UCAGUUGAGAAAGUGCCUCCAUCAGAUCACCUGUAGGCAAGUCCUUGAGGUGUUCUCAUGACUGAGGAUUGAUGUGGGAGUGUCCAGCCCACUGAGCAUGGAGCCACCUCUGGCCACGUGAUCCUGAUGUUUCGUAAGAAAGCAGUCUGAAUGUGACCACUGGAAUCCACAACAAUGACCGGUCUGGAAAGGUGUGCCCACUGAUACAAUAGAGGAAUGAACAUUAUGAGAGUGAGAACACGGGAAAAGGACAUCAUCUGUGAACCAAAGGCUGGCCUCGUCAGACAUCUGGUCCAAUGGCUUUAAUCUUAGACUUCUCAGACUCCAAAACAGCGAGAAACAAAGGCCUGAUAUUAACUUCAAAAUAGAGGAAAAUGUCAACAAACUGUAAAGCAGAUACUGUUUCUCACUGAUUUAAUUCACCUAGUAAAAAGCGCUUCAAACAGAGAAUGAACUGUUUACAUUUAUUCCACAAAA